rnacentral:rRNA from 1 species
GACGAACGCUGGCGGCGUGCUUAACACAUGCAAGUCGAGCGGUAAGGCCCUUUCGGGGGUACACGAGCGGCGAACGGGUGAGUAACACGUGGGUGACCUGCCCUCAGCUCUGGGAUAAGCCUGGGAAACCGGGUCUAAUACCGGAUAUGACUCCAUGACGCAUGUUGUGGGGUGGAAAGCCUUGUGCGGCUGAGGAUGGGCCCGCGGCCUAUCAGCUUGUUGGUGGGGUGANGGCCUACCAAGGCGACGACGGGUAGCCGGCCUGAGAGGGCGACCGGCCACACUGGGACUGAGACACGGCCCAGACUCCUACGGGAGGCAGCAGUGGAGAAUCUUGCGCAAUGGGCGAAAGCCUGACGCAGCGACGCCGCGUGAGGGAUGACGGCCUCGG